rnacentral:misc_RNA from 1 species
GGCAAAGGGCCAAGCUGGAAGGCUUGAGUCGGAUAAUCGUAUAUAUCAUCGCAAUUUGCAAUGGCUAGUCAACGCUGAUGGCGGACAGAAACAUGGGUAUUUCCCACUACCAGCGCAUAGCACCGGAGACAUCAGUUGAGAGAUGUUAUCCCCAUUCCACUUUUUACGCUAGCAUAUUUAAUGAAAUUCCAGCCAUUUCAUUGUCAACAAUUUCAUCAGCAACGGCCAAAUCUAAGAAACAUUCCAAACUCACAGGUUCAGGAUUUUAUUUAGGAGAACAUACCAAAUAACACAGUAGAUAUUUCACAUGGAUUGCACAGCGGAAGCACCAUUAAAAACGAAACACGCCGUAGCAGCUAAUAGGGGCAUGAAUACCAACAGAUGAUGCAUCACGCUAGGGGAAACACACAAGUUGACAAAGAACUCUUACACAAAACAAAACGACCAUUAAACAGGAAACAUGCCUCGAUCCUUUAUUUAGUAGCCAAUAAUGGGCAUGAGUUCCAAUAACAAGUUAACAACGGCUCCAUCACUCGUCAUCAUGGUGCUUCUUGUGGUGGUGGUGCUUGUAGCGAUGAUGCUUCUUCUCUUCAUCAUCAGAGUCAUCAUCUCCAUAUUUCUUGCGGCUAUAACCCUCUUCGCCACCAUAGCCAUACUUGUUGCGAGACUCACCAUCAUCAUCAUCGCGCCUCUCAUAAGCUGGCCUCUCGUACUCCUCUUCUUGCCUCCCAUAACUAGGCCUCCUCGGUGGUUCAUCUCCGUAACUUGGCCUCCCAUACUCAGUCCUCUCUCCAUAUCCUCCUUCCUCCCCGUAGCUUGGCUUGCGCCCAUACCCACCUCCAUACUCAGACCCUCCACCUUCAUAUUCAGACUGCUUCCUCCCUCCAUACCCAGAUCCAUACUCAGACUCCUUCCUGCCCCCAUAUCCGUAUCCAUAUUCCGAACUGGGAAUCUCAUGUUCAGUACUCUCUCCAUACCCAGAUUCAGGUCUCCUACCAUAUCCGGAUCCAUACUCUUCACCAGGUGGCCUCUCAUAAUUGGUUCUCCCACCGUACCCAGUUCCAUACUCUGAUUCUGGUCUCCGGCCAAGGCCGGAUCCGUAUUCCUCGCUGGUUGGUCUUCCAUACUGGGUCUUUCCGCCGUACCCACCAGAUCCAUAUUCCGAUUCUGGCCUCCUGCCAUAGCCCGAUCCAUAUUCUUCGCUGGCUGGCUUCUCAUACUCGGUCCUCCCGCCGUAUCCACCAGAUCCGUAUUCUGAAUCUGGCCUCCGGCCGUACCCAGAACCAUAUUCCUGGCUAGGUGGCUUCUCAUAAUCGGGCCUUCCGCCAUAGCCACCAGAUCCAUAAUCGGACCCAGGCCUUGUCACUCCAGGUGGGAACCCAUAAGCAGGCUCAGGCUUAGCAUCAACAAAUACUUCCCCACCAGGGGUGAAGUCAUGAGCAGGACCAGGUCGGUGCUUGGGACGGGCAUAGCUAGUGUACUCCUCCUGGAGAUGCUCAUCGGCGUAGGCGGAGGGCUCCGCGUAGGAGGUGAAAUUGGGGCGAUCGUAGUCGAUCUCAUCGGCGGAUGAGCUGUGUCUGUAGCAAGUUUCAUCAGACGGUGGGAUGGGACGUCCGUACGUCAAGGCCAUGUCGUAUCCACCUCCAUAUGGUGUCGGAUCAUACUCGUCGAAAUCAUGGACGUCGUCUUCGUUCCUCGAAUAGUACGGCAUUGUUUCAGGUCAAGAUGGCUCCCCCAGAAAACACAGAAAGGAAAGGGGCACGUUGUGGAGAGGAUGGCCGUUUUAUAGCGUUUGCACUUGAAACGGCGGCGUUUUGGGUUUCCUUUUGUCGGACAAAUUCGGUGGCGUUUUAUGUGGUCUUGCUUAGGUGGGCCAGGUCGCAUUUAAAAGUGGAUUCCAAUAAGUGACACGAAUCGGACAUGGUCCACGUUUAAUUGGUUUUUCUUUUUAUGCGCUCAUGGACCACUGCUCUGUGUGGUCUUUUUCUGUUGCCAUAAUUGAGAUUUUUCU